UGUGUGUAUGUGCGUCAGUGUCGUAGGAAAGCAGACUGAGAGUGAACUUUUUGUUGUCUCUUUUGAGGUUUCUCAAGUCUGCCAUUUUCUGAUCGUACCAUAUUUUUAAUCCGUCACCUCGUGAUUCUGACAAACAAGAUGUACUGUGGGUCAUGAGAAGAAAAAAGUGUCAUUUUAAUGUCAAGUAAUCAGUUCGCGAAUUUAUUCGCAAACUAGGAAUAUUCAAGACUGAUUGAUAAGUUGACACAGAAAUCGUAAAUAUGAUGGAUAUCGACACUCCAGAUUUUGCCAGCAAAGAUGAGGAGAUACAGUUCUGGAUGGACCUUGCACAUCAAAUGCAUCAAAG